rnacentral:rRNA from 1 species
UACGUAGGGUCCGAGCGUUGUCCGGAAUUAUUGGGCGUAAAGGGCUCGUAGGCGGUCUGUUGCGUCGGGAGUGAAAUCUUACAGCUUAACUGUGAACUUGCUUUCGAUACUGGCGGGCUUGAGGACAGGAGAGGAACGCGGAAUUCCAGGUGUAGCGGUGAAAUGCGUAGAUAUCUGGAGGAACACCGGUGGCGAAGGCGGCGUUCUGGACUGUUUCUGACACUGAAAAACGAAAGCCAGGGGAGCAAACGGG